GAAAAACAAGACGGGUGACUUUGCUUGGACCUGGGUAGUAAGACUGGAAGCUUGUGGAGGCUGUGGACCCUUCUGCUGUCCCCACUUAGCACUUGCCAGGGCAAUCGUAAGCACCGGGGUCACAGAAUGGUCUCAUGCAGCCUGCGAUAACCUUACUAUGUAGCCAAGGAUGACCUUGAAGCCCUGGCCCUCCAGCUUCUAUCUCCUGAGUGUCAAGACUACUGAGUGCUGGGAUUUUGAGCAUGCAUGACCACACCUGAUUUUUGUAGCACUGGGAUUCGAACCCAAGGCUCUGUGGUACCAG
rnacentral:lncRNA from 1 species